UACGUAGGGUGCGAGCGUUGUCCGGAAUUAUUGGGCGUAAAGGGCUCGUAGGCGGUUUGUCGCGUCGGGAGUGAAAACCAGGUGCUUAACACCUGGCUUGCUUUCGAUACGGGCAGACUAGAGGUAUUCAGGGGAGAACGGAAUUCCUGGUGUAGCGGUGAAAUGCGCAGAUAUCAGGAGGAACACCGGUGGCGAAGGCGGUUCUCUGGGAAUGACCUGACGCUGAUGAGCGAAAGUGUGGGGAGCGAACAGG
rnacentral:rRNA from 1 species